CCCCCCCCUCCCCCGCCAGAUAGGUGCAUGGGUUACAAUUUCUGCAGUAAGUAAGUGUGUGGAAGCAAAGAUCUCUUGUAAAUUUUGAAUUUCGACCAAGGGCCUUGCUGACACAUACACCUAAAAGUGAACAUAUAUCGGAUACACAUGUUUACAAUUUUUCCCAUAUGAAAGUUUCUCGUAUUAAAAAAAACAAUUAGAACAAAUUUGCUGUAUUUCUGUAUAUUUUUUCCUUAAUUAGGAUACUUUUGUACUUGAUAUUAUCAAUGUUAAUUUAUACUAAGAGCACAAUUGUGGUUUGAUUAUUAUUUGUGGGUAUCAAAUUUUGUUGGUUUACUUCAAAUGGCACUUUCAAGGAUACGUAAAUUUGUGGUCAAUGAUUGUAUCAGUACAAUAUCAAUUAUAAUUAUAUGUUGCAAAUGAUUGAGCAUUUAUUUUCAUGGAUCACUCAACAAUGAAAUCCAUGAAUAUUGGUAUUCAACGAAUUUUGAUGAAAUCACAGUAUUCAAGCUUAUGUACGGUAUGUGUUACUUUCAAUUGGACAGGCAGUCUUAGCCAAGUCUUAAACUGUCUGGUCUUCUUACAUGUAUGUACAUCUCUGCAGUAAUGUUUUGUACUUAUCUUUGACCAAAUGAAUAUUUGACAAAAAAUAAUCUAAAGAUGGUUUGCAAAAAAUAUUUGCAUUUGAAAAUGAAUUAACAAACCAAGUAUAAUGCAUAGGUCUGCAAGUAUCACUGAUCAUUUUUAUAAUGGUCCCUUAAAUAUAUAAGAUGUCUCAAAAUAGCAUUUUUUAUCAUGAUAUUUUUUGUGAAAAAUUUUGAAUUGCUCACUUCGUCUAGUUCUUUUAAUCAACAAUUGGGGGAAAGGGGAGGGGGGGGGGGGUACCCUAAUGGCUCAGAAGCUCUCUCUCUCUCUCAUUGAAAUGCUCUAAUAAUUGUUUCAAAAAAUAGCCAUUGAGGGAGUUCUUUGUUUUGCUGAUGUCUGCAAUGCUUUUUGUGAUAAACCAUGAACAUUUUCAUUUAACUUUUUAUAAACCAUUUAUAAUUUUGUUAUUGAGAUGUACAUGUACCACCUUGUUUAACAUUUCGAAGCUGAAAACGACCACAUUUAGUAGCUGUGUUAUUUUUUCUAUUGUUUCAGAAUAAAUGCAUGUAAC
rnacentral:sRNA from 1 species